GUCUAUGGCCAUACCACCCUGAACAUGCCUGAUCUUGUCUGAUCUCGGAAGCUAAGCAGAGUUGGGGCUGGUUAGAACGUGGAUGGGAGAAUCCUACUUGCAUCCUCACCUCCCGCUCUCCAGGCAAUAAAGAUC
rnacentral:rRNA from 1 species